GCAUUAGUGGUUCAGGGGUAGAACUCUCACCUUCUAUGCAGAAGACUUGGGUUGGAUUCCCAGCCAAUGCG
rnacentral:tRNA from 1 species